UACGUAGGGGGCAAGCGUUGUCCGGAAUCAUUGGGCGUAAAGCGCGUGUAGGCGGCUCGAUAAGUCUGCUGUGAAAGUCCAGGGCUCAACCCUGGGAUGCCGGUGGAUACUGUCGAGCUCGAGUCCGGAAGAGGCGAGUGGAAUUCCUGGUGUAGCGGUGAAAUGCGCAGAUAUCAGGAGGAACACCAAUAGCGAAGGCAGCUCGCUGGGACGGUAUUGACGCUGAGGCGCGAAAGCGUGGGGAGCAAACAGG
rnacentral:rRNA from 1 species